GAUGAACGCUGGCGGCGUGCCUAAUACAUGCAAGUCGAGCGAACGGACGAGAAGCUUUCUUCUCUGAUGUUAGCGGCGGACGGGUGAGUAACACGUGGAUAACCUACCUAUAAGACUUGGAUAACUUCGGGAAACCGGAUCUAAUACCGGAUAAUAUUUUGAACCGCAUGGUUCAAAAGUGAAAGACGGUCUUGCUGUCACUUAUAGAUGGAUCCGCGCUGCAUUAGCUAGUUGGUAAGGUAACGGCUUACCAAGGCAACGAUGCAUAGCUGACCUGAGAGGGUGAUCGGCCACACUGGAACUGAGACACGGUCCAGACUCCUACGGGAGGCAGCAGUAGGGAAUCUUCCACAAUGGGCGAAAGCCUGACGGAGCAACGCCGCGUGAGUGAUGAAGGUCUUCGGAUCGUAAAACUCUGUUAUUAGGGAAGAAAAUAUGUGUAAGUAACUGUGCACAUCUUGACGGUACCUAAUCAGAAAGCCACGGCUAACUACGUG
rnacentral:rRNA from 1 species